ensembl:lincRNA
AUGGCGUUUAUAAAAGAGGAGAGUGAGGAUGUGAAGAUUGAAGAAACAUUCACAGUCAAACAGGAAGCUCUGCAGGAACAAACAGGUUGGUUUUCAUUCUCAAAGACCAACUCAGUCAUUUGAUCCUCAUUCAGAUAUAUUUUAAUAAUAAGAAUACUAAAUUAAAUCCAUCUUGCGGCCCUGAGUGUGCUGCCUAGUUCUCCUAAACGCACAUAAGCACUCAUUGAAAGACAGGAAUGAAUUUCUUUCUUGCUUUACUUGUUCUCGUGUCUUUGGUCAUUAUUUUAUGUAUUAUUAGUCUCCCAUUUUCUCUACCUUCUUAAGGUUGUUGCUUUUCUUGUUCUCCUACUGUUUGUAAGGUGUCCUUGAGCACUAAAAACGUCCUUGGGCACUAAUGUCGUUUUAAAAUGAUUAUUGAACAAAUCCUUAUAUUUGCGUGUCACACUCACUAUACAAAUUUAUCAGGACUUACUGAAAAUGGAAAGGAUUGGAAGGACAUUUGCUGUGCUCUAUCAUUGAUAGGGAAAAGGACACUCUUUGCUAGAUUGAAUUUGUCUCCAGAAGCAUUUACAAAUCCUGAAAUUAUUGUAAGAGCUUUUGAAAUGCAUGCAUCUAGAUUUGACAGAAAAAGAAGAUCAUCCGCAUUUAGCUGGAAAUUAUGCUUGUGUCCCUCUCUGAAAAUUCCUUGCAAGCCAUCUGAGUUCCUUAAUACAGUUGCAAGAGGUUCGAUGGCAAUGUCAAAGAACAGAGGGCAGCCCUGUCUCGUUCUUCUAGAGAGUGGAAAGCCUUUAGAAAUAAUAUUAUUUGUUUGAAUGGAUGCUUGGGGCCUAGAAUAUAACAUUUUAACCAAGGAACAGAAUCCAGGAUCAAAACCAAUUUUUUUUAAGCGCUGUAAAAAAAUAGAUCUACUCUAUUCUAUCAAAUGCCUUAUGGGCAUCUAAGGAAAGAGUGAUUCCGAAACAAGAGCUUCAGCAAAUACCUUGCUCAACAGGGGUGUUAGCUUGGCAGUAAACUUCUUAUAAAACUCGGAUGGGAAGCCAUUGGGGCCUGGUGCUUUUCCGGUUUUCAAUUUUAUUUCAUAAGGUGUUAAAUUUCCUUCUAAUGCCAACUAAUCUAAAUCACAGAGGGAUGGUUAUUCUAAAUAAUAAAAAAAAAACUCAAUACGUUCAAUCUUGUUUACCUCAGAGCUGUAAAGAGUUUUAUAGAAGUUUUUAAAUUGAUCAUUAAUUCUCUGUUGAUUAGUAAUAAUACUGCCAUCAUCCUUCCUAACUGCUGUUAUAAAACCAGCUGCUGAGGAUUGUGUCAGUUGGUAACACAAUAACCUGCCAGCUCAUUUCCCAUGUUCACAAUGAAUCUAGCGUGAUCUUAUGUGGAGAUCCUCGAUAUUUUCAUCUGUCAGGGAGUCAUAUUCCUCUUGCAGAAGGAGUCUUUUCUUAUGGAGCUCUUCGGAAGGUGAUGUUGAGAGUAGCUGAUCAAUUGUAUUAAUUUUAUUUAUAAUCUCUGUAAGUCGUUUUGACUUUCACUAUUUAAAUUUUAAUUGCACUAGCUUAAUCUAAAAUUUGUCCUCAUAUAUAUGUUUCUGAGUAUCCCAUAGGAUGCUAUAACUUAUCUCUGGGGAUUCCUUUGUCUUAAGGAAGAAAUCAAUUUGAGCAUCAAUAAAUUUUAAGAAAUCGUCGUCUGCCAAGAGUCUUGAGUUAAACCGCCAUGUACGUUGUGGGAUUACAUUGCCUGGAAAACAUAGUUUUAGUGAGACUGGACAUUAGUCCGAAAUAACAAUACUACCAUACUCUAAUUCUGACAUUAAGGGAAGUAACUGCUUGUCCAGGAGAAAAUGGUCAAUCCUGGAAAAGGUUUGAUGCACUGGUGAAUAGAGGGAAAAUUGCUUGGAAGGUGGAUAUUUAAAUCUUCAGGGGUCACUUACACUAAGUCUGAAGAAAGGAGUUGAUACAUUGUGCUGGCUAACUUAAUGAAUUACUCAAAGAGCUAGAGCGGUCCAAAAUUGGGUGCAAAACAAUUUAAAUCACCUCCUAAGAGACUAGGCAAAAUUGAAAAUAAAUCUUUUUCAUUGUUUUUCAUUGUCUACAGACACUACAGGACUACAGACAUGUUAAAAAGUUUACCUUGGAUUAUUAUGUAUCUGCCAUUUUUAUCCAACACAUUUGACUCCAAAACAAAAUGUACAUUUUUAUGUAUAUGUACAUAACGCCGCUACUUUUGCUAUUGAAGUUAGAAUGAUAUAUUUGUGUAUACCUUCCUCUAUUAAGUUUAGAAUAGUCAUUUUUCAUCAGAUGUGUCUCCUGUGAAUAUACAAUAUCAGAUUUUUACUUAUUAAAAUGUGCGAACACCUUGUUUUGUUUCACUGGGUGAUGUCAAAACGGAGGGCUAUCGAAAACAUUUAUCAGUAGCAUCUAAAAGGAAUCUGUGGGUUUUGUAUGUAGGGGAUGUGUGGGGGAGAGAGGAAAAAA